rnacentral:sRNA from 1 species
GGCAUCAAUAUGGUGACCUCCAGGGAGCAGGCGCCACCAGAUUGCCUAAGGAGGGGUGAACUGGCCCAGGUUGGAAAUGGAGUAGGUCAAAACUCCCAUGCU